GAUGAACGCUGGCGGCGUGCCUAAUACAUGCAAGUCGAGCGAACAGACGAGGAGCUUGCUCCUCUGACGUUAGCGGCGGACGGGUGAGUAACACGUGGAUAACCUCCCUAUAAGACUGGGAUAACUUCGGGAAACCGGAGCUAAUACCGGAUAAUAUAUUGAACCGCAUGGUUCAAUAGUGAAAGACGGUUUUGCUGUCACUUAUAGAUGGAUCCGCGCCGCAUUAGCUAGUUGGUAAGGUAACGGCUUACCAAGGCAACGAUGCGUAGCCGACCUGAGAGGGUGAUCGGCCACACUGGAACUGAGACACGGUCCAGACGCCUACGGGAGGCAGCAGUAGGGAAUCUUCCGCAAUGGGCGAAAGCCUGACGGAGCAACGCCGCGUGAGUGAUGAAGGUCUUCGGAUCGUAAAACUCUGUUAUUAGGGAAGAACAAAUGUGUAAGUAACUAUGCACGUCUUGACGGUACCUAAUCAGAAAGCCACGGCUAACUACGUG
rnacentral:rRNA from 1 species